rnacentral:rRNA from 1 species
AUUGAACGCUGGCGGAAUGCUUUACACAUGCAAGUCGAACGGCAGCACGGGGCAACCUGGUGGCGAGUGGCGAACGGGUGAGUAAUACAUCGGAACGUGCCCAAUCGUGGGGGAUAACGUAGCGAAAGUUACGCUAAUACCGCAUACGAUCUACGGAUGAAAGCGGGGGAUCGCAAGACCUCGCGCGAAUGGAGCGGCCGAUGUCAGAUUAGGUAGUUGGUGGGGUAAAGGCUCACCAAGCCAACGAUCUGUAGCUGGUCUGAGAGGACGACCAGCCACACUGGAACUGAGACACGGUCCAGACUCCUACGGGAGGCAGCAGUGGGGAAUUUUGGACAAUGGGCGCAAGCCUGAUCCAGCCAUUCCGCGUGCAGGAUGAAGGCCUUCGGGUUGUAAACUGCUUUGUUACGGAACGAAACGGUCUGCCCUAAUACGCGGCUAAUGACGGUACCGUAAGAAUAAGCACCGGCUAACUACGUGCCAGCAGCCGCGGUAAA